rnacentral:ncRNA from 1 species
GUUCGAGAGAGACCUUUUACAGGCGCCGAAGGGGCAAAAACUCUCAGGCAAAAGUAUCGAAUC